CUUAAAAUGAAGUUGACGGGGCCGCACAAGCGGUGGAGCAUGUGGUUAAUUCGAAGCAACGCGAAGAACCUUACCUGGCCUUGACAUGCUGAGAACUUUCCAGAGAUGGAUUGGUGCCUUCGGGAACUCAGACACAGGUGCUGCAUGGCUGUCGUCAGCUCGUGUCGUGAGAUGUUGGGUUAAGUCCCGUAACGAGCGCAACCCUUGUCAUUAGUUGCUACGAAAGGGCACUCUAAUGAGACUGCCGGUGACAAACCGGAGGAAGGUGGGGAUGACGUCAAGUCCUCAUGGCCCUUAUAGGUGGGGCUACACACGUCAUACAAUGGCUGGUACAAAGGGUUGCCAACCCGCGAGGGGGAGCCAAUCCCAUAAAGCCAGUCGUAGUCCGGAUCGCAGUCUGCAACUCGACUGCGUGAAGUCGGAAUCGCUAGUAAUCGUGGAUCAGCAUGUCACGGUGAAUACGUUCCCGGGUCUU
rnacentral:rRNA from 1 species